rnacentral:rRNA from 1 species
AUGCGUAGCCUGAGCCCCCUGUACUCUCUCCUCCUCCUCCUUACCGGCGUCUUCCAGGCCAACCUCGACGCCUUCCUCUCGUUCCUCCCCGCCGCUGCGUCGGACGCGUCCGGGUUGGCCGAGAACACCACCGGCACAGCGCCCGACGAGGCGUACGGUCUCGCGCACUGCCGCGCCGACGUCAAUGCAUCCGAGUGCCGCUCGUGCCUCGACACCUGGGCAUGGGACGCAGCCAUCAAGUGCCCCGGCCAGAAAAAGUCCACGCUCUUCUACGACGCCUGCCUCCUGCGCCACUCGAACGUGAGCUUCUUCGGCGUCGCCAACAUGUCGUGGCUGACCGGCUUAUGCAACGCGGUGAACGCGACGCAGCCCGAGCUGUUCAAGACGCAGCUAGGCGCGCUGAUGAACAACCUCAGCAACAGGGCGGCGUCGUCCCGCGACUGUUCGCGGCCGACACGGUCGACUUGA